rnacentral:rRNA from 1 species
CCUACGGGAGGCUGCAGUGAGGCAUAUUGGUCCAUGGGCGCGAGCCUGAACCAGCCAAGUAGCGUGAAGGAUGACUGCCCUACGGGUUGUAAACUUCUUUUAUCAAGGAAUAAAGUCAGGCACGCGUGCCUUUUUGUAUGUACCUUAUGAAUAAGCAUCGGCUAACUCCGUGCCAGCAGCCGCGGUAAUACGGAGGAUCCGAGCGUUCUCCGGAUUUCUUGGGUUUAAAGGGAGCGUAAAUGGGUUGUUAAGUCAGUUGUGAAAGUUUGCGGCUCAACCGUAAAAUCGCAAUUGAUACUGGCAGUCUUGAGUACAGGAGAGGUAUGCGGAAUGCGUGGUGUAGCGGUGAAAUGCAUAGAUAUCACGAAGAACUCCGAUUGCGAAGGCAGCUUACUAAACUGCCACUGACAUUGAUGCACGAAAGUGUGGGUAUCAAACAGGAUUAGAUACCCUUGUAGUC